AAGAAAUUUAAUAAUUUUGAAAAUGGAUUUUUUUGUUUUGGCAAGAGCAUGAGAGCUUUUACUGGGCAAGAAGACAAGAGAUGGAGAGUCCAGCCGGGCCUGCGCUUAAGUGCGCGGUCUUGCUAGGCUUGUAAGUUUCUUUCUUGCUAUUCCAAACGGUGAGAGAUUUCUGUGCUUUUGUUAUAGGACAAUUAAAACCGUUUCAAUACAACACACUGUGGAGUUUUCAUAUCUUUGCAACUUUUUCUUUGGGCAUUCGAGCAAUCGGGGCCCAGAGGUAACAAACACAAACAAUUUUAUCUAUUCAUUAAAUUUUUGUCAAAAACAAGAAUUUUCGUAACUGGAAAUUUUAAAAUAUUAA
ensembl:rRNA Non-coding region between RDN58 and RDN18; transcribed as part of the 35S rRNA precursor transcript; excision during transcript maturation is coupled with processing of the 3' external